rnacentral:tRNA from 1 species
GGCUUGAUGGUCUAGUAGUAUGAUUCCUUCUUAGGGCAGUCGUUUGGAGGAGGUCCCGGGUUCAAUUCCCGGUCAAGCCC